CAACAAAUUGUCAAAGUUCUAGAAGCAAUAAAGGACUUUCAAAGAAGAAUCUUUUGGGACAAGGAAUAAAGAAUAUACACAGGGCUAAAGGAUGAUGAGACUGAAGCCUUCUAAAUGAUGAGAAAUAAACAGUUGUGAGGAGAUGGAAAAACAAAAAGAAAUCUUUCAGACGACAAAGGCUCGUAAGGACAGACGGAUCAAGACCCAUCCGCAUUCUUGGAGACGUGCGCAGAGCGAAAAGGAUGAAUGAAUGGAAGACAGGCGCGUGUGAAACGCAGCAGGUCCGGCCGGCAACUAGACCAGCAGCAGCGAUCAGUAGGCCUCGCUCCUCCCCCUUCCCUCCUCCAUGACAGCCCAGUAUCAAGCAUGGAGGGGAGAGGACAAUGUGAUCCCCGUUUCUCACCACCACCACCCUUCAUCCUACUCUGAGAGCUUUACCGCGCUACACGAGGUUCUCCUUCCCGCCCCAAACCUUUCUCGCCUCCCCAGCCGCCAACCCCGGCAACUCUUGAGCGCGCUGGAGUAACAUGCGCUUGCCCCUCUUG